CUGAUAAUGCUUAUUGUGAAGACUGGGCUUGAAAAAAAUAAUUUCAACAUGGCAGUCAUUUUUAAAAUAUGCGAAGUGAAAAUCUUGUGAAGAAAAUGUGAGAAAUACACUGUAUAAAAAUGAAAUUGAAUUCAGUGAAGAAUCAUCUGAUGAUGAAUACCAGCUAAUUGCUGAUAAUGAUGGAUACAAUGAUUUGCUUUGUAAUUCUGUAACAAGUGCAGAUGAAAAUGAUGAAGAAAAUACAAGUACAGAUGGUGAUGAUUGCAUUCCAUUGGCUCAAAGAGUCAAGUCUUUUGCUGACAAUGAGACAAAAAAGACAAAAAAGGGUGUUUAUUGAUGACGAAGACAUAGAUAUGUGCAUGUUGAAAAGCCUUUCAUGGGUGAUCAGUAUAUUGUACCUGAACCUCCACCAUCACCUUUGACAAUUUUUCAACAGUUUGUAAACAAAGAGAUGCUUGAAAACAUGUGUCAGCAAACUAACAUUUAUAGUGUUGUGAAAACUGGAACAUCUGUUAUGAUGAGGUAAAUGACUCAUCAAAAGGAAUUACCAUUGUCAGAUGGCUGGACAAAAAGGCAGUGAAAUUGGUAUCUACUUACUGUGGAGCAGAACCAUUAGGUGUUGCAAGGAGAUGGGAAAAGAAGGAGAAGCAAUAUGUGGAAAUUCCCAAGCCAAAGCUUGUAGAUGAGUACAAUAAGUUCAUGGGGGCAUUGACUUAAUGGACAUGCUUUGCUCAUUGUACAAGUAUUCCAUAAGAUCAAGGCGAUGGUAUCUUUACCUUUGGUUUCAUACCCUUACAGUGGCUAUGGUCAAUUCAUGGCUUCUUUUCAGAAAAAAUCAGAGAGGAAAGAAACAAAUCAAACUUCGUGACUUCCAAGCAACAAUUGCAGAGGGAUUGAUUAAGGCAGGAAAAGAAAGAAAAAGAAGACGAUCUUCAAAUGCCUCGACAUCUCGAAAAAGACCAACCACUCAACCAAAUGAAGAGAUACAGUUUAAUAAAAUAGAUCAUAUGCCUCCCUGGGAUGACAGACAUCAUCAGAGAUGUAAAAUUUGCUCUGCCUUUUGCUCUCAUGUUGUCUGUGGCAAAUGCAAUGUUUAUCUCUGCUUCAAUAAAGACAGAAAUUGCUUUAUGGAAUACCACACAAAUAAAUAAAAUCAUAAAGAUUUCUACAUACUGACAGAUUAAAGUAUUGAUUGAUUAAAACUCUUGUUAUAUUCACAAUUUUCAUGCUUUUGUUAAUGAAUACUAUAUAAUUAUUUUAGUUUUAAACUCUAGUUUUCUUUAUUAUAGAAAGUAACGCUUAAUGCCCAAUGUGACAAAUCUGUCACAAAAUUUUUUAAGAAGAAAAAAUGUUUUUUUUAAAAUUUUUUAAUCGAACUUGGUAUUGCUUGUUAUUUUAAGGAAAAAUACCAAAGAACAGAUUUUUGCAUUGAGUUUAUCCCUCCUUGGGCAUUUAAGGGUUAAUAAGUAGUGGUUGAAGCCGGGCAAAUUUACUUCCGGAGCCCCAAAGUUGUGAGAAUCAAUAUGGCGUUGUAUUAGAAAAUAUUUGGUCAAAGCUGAUAUCUUGCAAUUACUUGCAAGUCACGACUGUUACAUAAACUGGUUUACUCUAUUAAUGAAAAAAAUCAAUGUGACCAUAGUUUUUCAAGAAAAAGAUAGCAGAAUGCGCAAAUACAUCGCCGUAAAAUUGAUUUCAAGUGUAGCUCGAUUUGAAAGCAUCAGCAGCGACGAAGGCUUAUGCAGUCAUUUUCGCCCAAUAUGCAAUCAUUCGAAAGGUCCUUCAUCUAAAGAUUUGACAUCGUUUAUCUCAUGCAGGACAAUGCUAAAACUUACU